UAUUUUUCCACUUUACUAUCAGCGUGUAUAAUCUAUCUGCUUCUGUAAUUUGAUUCCGCACAUCUUGGUUUCAGGCUUUAAAAGAGAACCGGCUUAAUCAGUGCACAGCCACCUGGCAGCUCCUUACCUGCUGGAAGAGUGAACAGAUGAUAAGGAAACGACAGGAUCCAUUCCAGCGACUGUCUGAAGACUUCAGAGAUAAACUGACUUCAGAGGAAAGAAAGCAAUUGAAGGUUUUCCUUGGGCUCACAGAUACUGACAUUUUCUCUUUGGAGCUACAUGAGAUCCUUCAGCUCAAGACCAACAGCACUGUUGAAGAAGGCUUCGCGCCACACUGGGAGUAAGAACUGAUCUUAUUUUGUUACAUUUUCAUAUUAUUUGCCCAGCAUUCCAGCCUUCUGGACUCACCAUUUGUGGGGUUUGAUGCGGCAAACUGGCCACAAAAGGCAAAGUGAGCCUGACCAUUUUUCACAGAUGUCAGACAUUUGAUUUUUUACAUUUAAAUAUUAUAUGGGAUAGUGUGAUGAGCCAGUUAUUAUUACAAAAUACUUUCAAACAUUCACAGGGUGAUUGGGAC
rnacentral:lncRNA from 1 species